CCUACGGGUGGCAGCAGUAAGGAAUAUUGGACAAUGGGGGCAACCCUGAUCCAGCCAUGCCGCGUGAGUGAAGAAGGCCUUCGGGUUGUAAAGCUCUUUCAGGUGUGAAGACGUAACACCAGAAGAAGCUCCGGCUAACUCCGUGCCAGCAGCCGCGGUAAUACGGAGGGAGCGAGCGUUGUUCGGAAUCACUGGGCGUAAAGCGUACGUAGGCGGUCCUGCAAGUCAGGAGUGAAAGCCCAGGGCUUAACCCUGGAACUGCUCUUGAAACUGCAAGACUAGAGUCCCGGAGAGGUUGGGGGAAUUCCGAGUGUAGAGGUGAAAUUCGCAGAUAUUCGGAGGAACACCAGUGGCGAAAGCGGCCAACUGGACGGGACUGACGCUGAGGUACGAAAGCGUGGGGAGCAAACAGGAUUAGAUACCCCUGUAGUC
rnacentral:rRNA from 1 species